CGAAGAAUGGUACACAGGUCGGACUCGCGUUAAACAUGAAUGACUCCGUAUGGAACAUAAACAUGGAGUGUCCCCCAAGAAUGGUACACAGGUCGGACUCCCGAUAAACAUGAAUGACUCCGUAUGGAACAUAAACAUGGAGUGUCCCCCAAGAAUGGUACACAGGUCAGACUCCCGAUAAACAUGAAUGACUCUGUAUGGAACAUAAACAUGGAGUGUCCCCCAAGAAAGGUACAUAGAGGUCAGACUCCCAAUUAACAUGAAUGACUCUCUAUGGAAUAUAAACAUGGAGUGUCCCCC